rnacentral:rRNA from 1 species
GAUGAACGCUGGCGGCGUGCUUAACACACGCAAGUCGAACGGUGAAGCAGGAGCUUGCUCUUGUGGAUCAGUGGCGAACGGGUGAGUAACACGUGAGCAACCUGCCCCUGACUCUGGGAUAAGCGCUGGAAACGGCGUCUAAUACUGGAUAUGUGAUGUGACCGCAUGGUCUGCAUCUGGAAAGAAUUUCGGUUGGGGAUGGGCUCGCGGCCUAUCAGCUUGUUGGUGAGGUAAUGGUUCACCAAGGCGUCGACGGGUAGCCGGCCUGAGAGGGUGACCGGCCACACUGGGACUGAGACACGGCCCAGACUCCUACGGGAGGCAGCAGUGGGGAAUAUUGCACAAUGGGCGGAAGCCUGAUGCAGCAACGCCGCGUGAGGGAUGACGGCCUUCGGGUUGUAAACCUCUUUUAGCAGGGAAGAAGCGAAAGUGACGGUACCUGCAGAAAAAGCACCGGCUAACUACGUGCCAGCAGCCGCCGUAA